rnacentral:lncRNA from 1 species
CACAAAUUUGAAACAAGCUGUCUGUCUGUCUGUUUCUUUAUGUCUUGGAAACUUUAUUUAUCCAUCCAAGCUUUUUUUUUUUUUAGCCUUUGAGAGCAGGCAACCAUCCAAGCUCAUUCCACGAACCCAGAGAAUUAAAUAUACCUGAUUUGUAGCACAAAAUAAAUAAAUGAUAAAAGUUCCCUCAAACCUUCCAUCAAGUGGUUUUAAAACUGUCAUUGAUUUUAUGUCCGGAAUUGAAGUUGUUUUGGUGCGUGCAUGUACACACACGCAUGUACACACACACACAAAUACACACUAAUCCUAAAAAUGAGAUGGAAAUGAGCUACAAGAAAACUCAAAAGUGCCAUAAUUAUGACUGUCAAAAAUAGUGUUACAGCUCUAGGGUCGUUUUGUGUCCUAUUUGUAUCAAAAUCACAUUUGGUCCUUUAUUAAGUGGGAGGUGAGUACAUCAAGAGGAAGAGGUUGCUUGAUUCUUGGUCCUUUAGAUUUUUAAGACUCUUUGGCCAGAGUUUUGGAAAAGGGAUUGUGUCAACAAGCAAAGUUGUGGUUUCAGGACUGCCUUAGAAACUUUUUCAAGAGAAGAAACAAUUCUCUACUAGGCGUAAAUGGCACCCACCUUAAUUUUUAGCCUUUGCUUUUUGGUGCCUGUAGGGGGAGCCCUUGAUAGCAGAUUUUAUUCCCAUUUCACUGGCUUGGAGGAAAACACCAGGAGUUCAAGCUGUUUAGGUAAUUUUGGCGUUUGGCCCACCUGCCCCAGCUUUAAAGAACAGUAACUUGUACAAGCAAUGCUGACUGAUGAUUGUCAGUCACAUGUGAGAAGAGAUUAGAAAGAUGAGUGGCAUUUAUUAAUUUUUUCUUAAAUUGUAAGCUUGGCUUCAGGGGUGGGAUUGAUUAUUCCAGCAUGUGGAUCUGUGCACAACCAGGUGACUCAUUAAGCCCAUGAGCACACACGGACAAGGCAUUGACUUUGUUUCUGUGUUUGUGACUUUUUUUCUUGGAGAGAAGAAAAUGAAGUUGACGUGAAUCAACCUCUUGUUGGUAGGGUUUUUAAAAUGCUACAGUCCCAGAGAAAGCAAGAGAAGACUCAAUAAAAAUGAAAGCCUGCAUCACUUACUGAACUUUUAUCAUGUCCUUGGAACUGGACUAUGUGCUUUUCGUACAUUGGGUGGAGGUUGAGUAACGUGCUCAAGCUGCUCGGCUGCACAGCUAGGAUUCCAACCCACCAGUCUGGCCUGAGUCCUCUUCCUUCUCAGCCUGGCUCUACGCCUUAGCAAAUCAUGCUGGUUUAUUGGAAGGUCAGCAGUUCCAUAUGAUUCAGCACAUGAGUCUUUGGCAGAAUGAAGUCCAUGGAAAUCCAACCACUCGUGAAGAAUGCACAGGGGAAUAAGGGCAGAAACGCCCAUUCCCACAGGAUCUGCAUGGAACCUCCUGGGAAGCAAGAUGGGAAAUACGAAGAGCACUGGGCUUGGCCUCAGAAACUUCAAGCGCUUUCUGCCCUGCCAUGGGCUAGCUCGUGACCUCAGGCAAGUCACUGCACCCUGCCUCUAGCUCUGUGACCUUACAGAGUUGUUGCCAGGAUAAUGCUUGGGAAAGUGUCUUCUGAACUCUUCAAUGACCUAUAAACCUAGGUUCCAGCAGAUGCAAUUCACAGAAGGUUCAAGGUUUAGGCCAGUGCACGUGGCUGUGAACAGCAAAUGGAGGAAGAGCCUUUUCAAUGCCCGCAGUGCAAAAACUCAGUGAUAUACUCUCUGUUUUUCAGUGGAGGGGGGCACUUGGCAUAUGAGCUUACACCACAAGAAUCACAUUUGUGUUAAUGUGUGUUUAUGUUGUGUUGACAAAAAGUGUAGGAAGCCAAGCGUGCUGGUGUGUGCCUAUGGUCCCAGUUACUCAGGAGGCUGAGGCAGAAGGAUUGCUUGAGCCCAGGAGUUCAAGGCUGCAAGGAGUUCAAAGCUAUGAUCAUGCCACUGUCCUCCAGUCUGGGCAACAGAGCAAGACCCCACAUCUAAAAAAAAUUUAAAAAAAAUUUUUUAAAGUAGGAUUAGCAGUAAUACAAUGUUAUCUUCUGCCUCGUAGAUAGCUUGAAAAUUCUGAGAUUCUUUGCUAAUAUAUCUAACUCUUCAUCCAA